rnacentral:rRNA from 1 species
GUAGUCCGCACAGUAAACGAUGGAUGCCCGCCGUUGGCGCCCUGCGCCUGCGGCCAAGCGAAAGCAUUAAGCAUCCCACCUGGGGAGUACGCCGGCAACGGUGAAACUCAAAGGAAUUGACGGGGGCCCGCACAAGCGGAGGAACAUGUGGUUUAAUUCGAUGAUACGCGAGGAACCUUACCCGGGCUUGAAUUGCAGUCGCUGCCCACAGAGACGUGGGCUUCCCUUCGGGGCGUCUGUGAAGGUGCUGCAUGGUUGUCGUCAGCUCGUGCCGUGAGGUGUCGGCUUAAGUGCCAUAACGAGCGCAACCCCCUUUCCCAGUUGCCAUCGGGUGAUGCCGGGCACUCUGGGGACACUGCCACCGCAAGGUGCGA